GAUUUUGUUUGCUCCUUCCACAGAACCCUACCCUUCCUCCAUCAGCGGCAACAGAGUUCUAGCGGUUGAUCGAUAGUGACAAUGAGACCUCCGGCAGCAAUGUGUUCUUUUCUCUUCUUCUUCUCCUUUUUUCAUCGUCUUCUCCGAUGAUAGGCGGCGAUGCCCAGCCUUUUAACUCUUCUCUUCUUCUUUUUUGUUUAAUUUCAUCUUCGGUUUUGUUGUUCUGAUGCAAGCUCAUUGAUAAAACUCUGUAGUUUAGGACCAUAUACUAGCACCGGAUGUAAUUCGCUCUUUCUGUUUUUGGAGUGGAAUCCUCAUUCACGCUCAUCUAUUACUGUGUUUUAGUACCGGUCCUACCACCUGUACCUGUUCGUUCUUCAGAUCGGACCUAUCACUAGAGAGGACAAAGAAGAAGAGGAGAAGAAAAAUGAUCACCGGCCCUACCACCAGAGUUACUUGUCGAAGUAGAAGAAUGGAGAGUAGA